rnacentral:rRNA from 1 species
CAGUAGCCGCGGGAAUACGAAGGGGGCUAGCGUUGCUCGGAAUGACUGGGCGUAAAGGGCGCGUAGGCGGCGAUCAAAGUCAGGCGUGAAAUUCCUGGGCUCAACCUGGGGGCUGCGCUUGAUACUUGGUUGCUUGAGUGGGGAAGAGGGUCGUGGAAUUCCCAGUGUAGAGGUGAAAUUCGUAGAUAUUGGGAAGAACACCGGUGGCGUAGGCGGCGACCUGGUCUUUAACUGACGCUGAGGCGCGAAAGCGUGGGGAGCAAACAGGAUUAGAUACCCGGGUAGUCCCUGUCUCUUAUAA